AAACCAAUCCAGCUUGCUGGGUCUUGGGCUUUCGCCUCUGGGCGGGCCUCAAAAUCAGUGGCGGUGCUGCCAGGCUCUAAGCGUAGUAAUUCUUCUCGCUACAGGGUCCUGGUGGAGGCUUGCCAAAACCCCUCUAUUUUCUUAC
rnacentral:misc_RNA from 1 species